UUUGACGUUAGCAACAGAAGAAGCACCGGCUAACUCCGUGCCAGCAGCCGCGGUAAUACGGAGGGUGCGAGCGUUAAUCGGAAUUACUGGGCGUAAAGCGCAUGCAGGUGGUUUGUUAAGUCAGAUGUGAAAGCCCGGGGCUCAACCUCGGAACUGCAUUUUGAAACUGGCAGACUAGAGUACUGUAGAGGGGGUAGGAAUUUCAGGUGUAGCGGUGAAAUGCGUAGAGAUCUGAAGGAAUACCGGUGGCGAAGGCGGCCCCCUGGACAGAUACUGACACUCAGAUGCGAAAGCGUGGGGAGCAAACAGGAUUAGAUACCCUGGUAG
rnacentral:rRNA from 1 species